ACUGCUCAGUAACACGUGGACAACCUGCCCUUAGGACGGGGAUAAACCCGGGAAACUGGGUGUAAUACCCGAUAGGUCUCGAUUGCUGGAAUGCAUCGAGAUUUAAAGCUCCGGCGCCUAAGGAUGGGUCUGCGGCCUAUCAGGUAGUAGUGGGUGUAGCGUACCUACUAGCCUACGACGGGUACGGGUUGUGAGAGCAAGAGCCCGGAGAUGGAUUCUGAGACACGAAUCCAGGCCCUACGGGGUGCAGCAGGCGCGAAAACUUUACAAUGCUGGCAACAGCGAUAAGGGAACCUCGAGUGCCAGGUUACAAAUCUGGCUGUCGAGAUGCCUAAAAAGCAUUUCAUAGCAAGGGCCGGGCAAGACCGGUGCCAGCCGCCGCGGUAACACCGGCGGCUCGAGUGGUAACCGUUAUUAUUGGGUCUAAAGGGUCUGUAGCCGGCCGGAUAAGUCUCUUGAGAAAUCUGGCAGCUUAACUGUCAGGCUUUCAGGAGAUACUGUCUGGCUCGAGGCCGGGAGAGGUGAGAGGUACUUCAGGGGUAGGGGUGAAAUCUUGUAAUCCUUGAAGGACCACCAGUGGCGAAGGCGUCUCACCAGAACGGACCUGACGGCAAGGGACGAAAGCUAGGGGCACGAACCGGAUUAGAUACCCGGGUAGUCCUAGCCGUAAACGAUACUCGCUAGGUGUCGGCCACGGUGCGACCGUUGUCGGUGCCGUAGGGAAGCCGUGAAGCGAGCCACCUGGGAAGUACGGCCGCAAGGCUGAAACUUAAAGGAAUUGGCGGGGGAGCAC
rnacentral:rRNA from 1 species